rnacentral:rRNA from 2 species
UACGUAGGUGGCAAGCGUUGUCCGGAUUUAUUGGGUUUAAAGGGUGCGUAGGCGGCCCUGUAAGUCAGUGCUGAAAUAUCCCGGCUUAACCGGGAGGGUGGCAUUGAUACUGCAGGGCUUGAGUAAAGUUGAGGUUGGCGGAAUUGACGGUGUAGCGGUGAAAUGCUUAGAUAUCGUCAAGAACACCUAUUGCGUAGGCAGCUAACUAAGCUUUAACUGACGCUGAGGCACGAAAGUGUGGGGAUCAAACAGG